GAGUGAACAGGAAAGAGCUCAAAGUUGGAACCCGUUUGGUUUAGCCAAACCGGAUUGUAAACUGUAGAAGUGUUUUCCUGACACGCCUGAUGAAAAAGUCCAUUGGAACAUGGUGACAUAGAGGGUGAGAGCCCCGUAUUUCGUCAGAGCUGUUGUCUUUUGUGAUACACUUUCAAAGAGUCAGGUUGUUUGGGAAUGCAGCCUAAAUUGGGUGGUAAAUCUCACCUAAAGCUAAAUAUUGGCAAAAGACCGAUAGCGAACAAGUACCGUGAGGGAAAGAUGAAAAGAACUUUGAAAAGAGAGUUAAACAGUAUGUGAAAUUGUUAAAAGGGAACCGUUUGGAGCCAGACUGGCUUGAUUGUAAUCAAUCUAGAUUUCGAUCUGGAUGCACUUGCAGUCUAUGCCUGCCAACGACAAUUCAUUCUGGAGGAAAAAACUAGGAGGAAUGUGGCCCCUCGGGGUGUUAUAGCUUCUUAGAAAAUACUCUGGGUUGGAUUGAGGAACGCAGUGGAUGCUAUUUGGCGAAGUUGCUGAGUGCUUUUAUUGGUACGUGUUAGAAUUUCUGCUUCGGGUGGUGCUAGCAUUUACUGGUAAAACUCGCUUGGUAAUCUUUUUAUCCGCUUAGGUUGUUGGCUUAAUGACUCUAAAUGACCCGUCU
rnacentral:rRNA from 1 species